AAAAACAGAGCAGCGACAGCUUCUGGCCAGAGCAGAGACCGCUCAAAAAACAGAGCAGAGACCGCUCAAAACCAGAGUAGAAAGGACAUACAUAUGCAAUCAUGAACACAAUCAGAUAGGAGAUAAAAUAGUGAACACAGGAAUCAUUGUAUACAAGCAUAAAAAUGUUCUUGCUUUCAGUAUACAAAUCCAACACGGCGUCCCUGCAUACACAGCACUUAACACACGAAUCAAACGCACCGGCGGGAGAAAGUAACAAAAACAAGAAAAAGGCAAAAAAAAAACAAAGCAAGUAAAAACGGAAAGAAAAGUGACACAACAAAAAAGCCUAAAACCUUC
rnacentral:lncRNA from 1 species